rnacentral:rRNA from 1 species
AUUGAACGCUGGCGGCAUGCUUUACACAUGCAAGUCGAACGGUAGACCCUUUCGGGGGUUGAGAGUGGCGAACGGGUGAGUAAUGCAUCGGAACGUACCCAGUCGUGGGGGGAUAACGUAGCGAAAGUUACGCUAAUACCGCAUAUUCUGUGAGCAGGAAAGCAGGGGAUCGCAAGACCUUGCGCUGAUUGAGCGGCCGAUAUCAGAUUAGCUAGUUGGUGAGGUAAAGGCUCACCAAGGCGACGAUCUGUAGCGGGUCUGAGAGGAUGAUCCGCCACACUGGAACUGAGACACGGUCCAGACUCCUACGGGAGGCAG